rnacentral:rRNA from 1 species
ACAGCAGUCGCCGCGGUAAUACGGAGGGUGCAAGCGUUAAUCGGAAUUACUGGGCGUAAAGCGUGCGUAGGUGGUGGUUUAAGUCCGUUGUGAAAGCCCUGGGCUCAACCUGGGAAUUGCAGUGGAUACUGGGUCACUAGAGUGUGGUAGAGGAUAGUGGAAUUUCCGGUGUAGCAGUGAAAUGCGUAGAGAUCGGAAGGAACAUCUGUGGCGAAGGCGACUAUCUGGGCCAACACUGACACUGAGGCACGAAAGCGUGGGGAGCAAACAGGAUUAGAUACCCGAGUAGUCCCUGUCUCUUAUAC